AUCCAGUUGAUGAGUCCCAGAGAAGGACGAAACGUGCAUCCUGGAU
rnacentral:hammerhead_ribozyme from 1 species